rnacentral:tRNA from 1 species
GCGGAUGUGGCGGAACGGUAGACGCACCAGAUUUAGGUUCUGGCGGGGAAACCCGUGGAGGUUCAAGUCCUCUCAUCCGCACCA